GUUCUGAAGUUUUCUUCAGGAUAAUUGGAGUGCGAAUGAAGCUGUUAUAUUCGUUAAAGCGAAUGAUUAGAGGAAUUGUGGGAUGAAACGUCUUCAAUCUCUUCUCAAACCUUCAAUGAGUAUGACGUUUCGUUUGUUUGAAUGAAUCGUGGACAUUGAAUGUGUACUCCUCGUGGGCCAUUUUUGGCAGGUUAGAAAUGUGAGACGAAUCAAACGUUUAGUUAAAGUAUAAGUCUUCCACUCAAGCAUCAUCCAAUUUCAGAGCUAAUUGAUUCAGAAC
rnacentral:ncRNA from 1 species